rnacentral:lncRNA from 1 species
UAAUUAUUUAGAUAUUAAAUAAAAUAGUAAGUAUAUGAAUUGCUAUUUUGGCAAGGGUCCUUUGUGAAGAAAAUUCAUGUUAGAAUGUUAGAUUGUCUGCCAUGGAAGACAAAACUCAAACCAUAGGGAGACAAGUAAGUAAGUGAUGUUAAUAGAGAUGUGAAAAUGGUCUAAAUCCCUGCGAUAAAAUAUAGUGUUCCUUCCUCACUAGUAUCAAAGCUGAAAUGGAGAAACGCACAAGAUUCCUUUGCAACUAAAUAUCUUAUAGAUAGAUAAUCUAUAGAGUGAUGAUUUGUUACUUGAGGGAUCUAAUAUCGCAAGAUUUCAUAUCAGCUGUUAAAAGAUAAAUUUAUGCUAUACAUUUUUUUUUACUUUUGUGAUAGUGUAAGAUUUUUAAGUUUAUAUAUGUAUUGCCAUGUACCAAAAGUUAUCCCCCCUCCCCAGCUGUCCUGAAGUCAUGGGAUAACAGCGCCCUCAAGCAGUCUACAGAGUGAGGACUCAAAAAAUAGCAAAUUUUAAAUGCCGUUUUGACUCCUACAUAUUUUUAUUUUGUGCCAUUUUUAUGGGAAACUUUUGAAGUCAAAGUUGAAGAAUAGUUAGCCUUAAUGAAGUACGAGAACAAGGUGUUCCACUCCUCCGUGAUCACGGUCUUCAGAGCAUCGACAUUUGGGAGGGAAGUCUUGUUAGUCUUGCCCUCCAAGAAGCAACUAAAUAGGUAAGUCCAGGGUGUUCACGUCGGGUGAGCACGAAGGCAAGAGUCUGCCGGCCAGAAGGCAGCCAUGAUCUCCCUGCACCUUCCUGGACGUGCGUGCCGGGGCACCGUCUUGGUUAAACUAAUAGUUGUCCCUGGAUAUCGUGAUUUUCAACCAUGGAAAAACAUGGUACCUGAGGACCUUGUAGUCGACAUCCUUGUUGACUUUCUCGUUGGCCUUGAAGAAGUAGGGAAGCAUCUUGCUGCCGUCGGAUACCACUACGCUGAGAACCAUGACCUGAACUGGAUGUUUGGUUCUGAAGGUCCCCUCGACCUUAGCUCUUGAUUCCAGCAAGAAUCGAUCGUUUUUCCUGUUGAGAACAGCGUCCACAGUCAAGAUCUUCUUGUAGGAUAUCAACUUGUGCAAAGAGGAGACCGCAAACCCUCUGCCGAUUUGCUUGUUGCUUGGACAUUUUUGACUCCACAAAAACAAAAAAAACAUCCAAUUGUAGCUUAUUGUUAGUUCUUUCGAAUAACUACAAAAUUGUCAAACUUUUAGAACUGAGGCUAGACGGCCUCAAAGAGGAUUCUAAUUUUUGAUUCCUCGCCCUUUAUUUAGAUCUAUGAUAUAGACAGACUAGUAUUGUUUGGUAAACUGGGAAAUAUUGCUACUUGGAUAACACUAAGACAUGUAUAUCUUGAAUUUCAACAAUAUUGGAUUAAAAUAAACCAUCUUUGUAUAAAAUA